CUACGGGAGGCUGCAGUGGGGAAUAUUGGACAAUGGGGGAAACCCUGAUCCAGCAAUGCCGUGUGUGUGAAGAAGGCCUGCGGGUUGUAAAGCACUUUCGGUUGGGAGGACUGCUUCUAGCACUAAUAUUGUUGGAAGUUGACGUUACCUUCAGAAGAAGCACCGGCUAACUCCGUGCCAGCAGCCGCGGUAAUAGCGGAGGGUGCAAGCGUUAAUCGGAAUUACUGGGCGUAAAGCGCGCGUAGGCGGCUAGAUCAGUCGGGUGUGAAAGCCCCGGGCUUAACCUGGGAACUGCAUCCGAUACUGUCUAGCUUGAGUACAGGAGAGGAGAGUGGAAUUCCACAUGUAGCGGUGAAAUGCGUAGAUAUGUGGAGGAACACCAAUGGCGAAGGCAGCUCUCUGGCCUGAUACUGACGCUGAGGUGCGAAAGCGUGGGGAGCAAACAGGAUUAGAUACCCGUGUAGUC
rnacentral:rRNA from 1 species